CUCUGUAGAUCUGUCAAAGAGACGAUAGCAAUGGCAUUAAGUGACAUCUUCACGAACGAGCUUGUUCAAGUUCGCGUCUCCGGUUGGCCUUGACGGGAGCAUCACCAGUUUCACAUCUUGUGGGAUUUACUCGGGAUUGGGAGGAGGAGGAGGUGGUGCUGCUUAUUCUUCAUGUUUGGUUCUGGUUAGUGUGCUAUGUCUAGGAUAUUUGCUUCUUCUUCUUUUUGCUCUUCUUUCUCUUUGUUGCUUUUAUAUCAACCAACCACCUAAAUCUCCUUCACACCACCGUUGCCGCCACUUACUCCACUCUACUGCCAUCGCCGUUCACUCCACCUCCACCAUCAAGAUUCUCGGAAGUUUAUCGGAUACAUUUCUCGGAAGUUCAUCGGGAUUUCCGAUCACUUUCCGACAAAUAAUCCCGACGAUAUUUGUCAACGGAAAUUACCUACUAGCUUCCGACGAACUGGAAUUUCCGAGAGCCAAACUCCGACUAAACCUUGAUCGUCGGGAAAUGGUGGGAAAUUCCCACUACCGACUACCUUCCGAGUAAUCUGGCUGUCGGAGUAUGAAUCUUAUUCUUGUAGUUUUCACAUGGAUGCUUCUUUAGAGAAUGUAGUGUACAGCACUCUAUUGUGGGCAUACGAUCACGUGUAGAGUCUGAAGUAGAGCUUCGGGAUACGAUUGUGAUGGGAGCAGAUUUCUACCAAACAGAAGCUGAAAUCAUGUCUAUGUUGGCUGAAGGGAAAGUUCCCAUAAGUGUAGGGGAGAACACCAAGAUUAGG